AACGAACGCUGGCGGCAUGCCUAACACAUGCAAGUCGAACGAGACCUUCGGGUCUAGUGGCGCACGGGUGCGUAACGCGUGGGAAUCUGCCCUUGGGUUCGGAAUAACAGUUGGAAACGACUGCUCAUACCGGUUGAUGACGUAAGUCCAAAGAUUUAUCGCCCAGGGAUGAGCCCGCGUAGGAUUAGCCAGUUGGUGGGGUAAAGGCCUACCAAGGCGACGUUCCUUAGCUGGUCUGAGAGGAUGAUCAGCCACACUGGGACUGAGACACGGCCCAGACUCCUACGGGAGGGAGCAGUGGGGAAUAUUGGACAAUGGGCGAAAGCCUGAUACAGCAAUGCCGCGUGAGUGAUGAAGGCCUUAGGGUUGUAAAGCUCUUUUACCCGGGAUGAUAAUGACAGUACCGGGAGAAUAAGCCCCGGCUAACUCCGUG
rnacentral:rRNA from 1 species